GACGAACCGUGCGAACGUUGUUCGGAUUCCCUGGGCUUAAAGGGCGCGUAGGCGGGCGACCAAGUCAGGGGUGAAAUCUUUCGGCUCAACCGGAAAAUAGCUUCUGAUACUGGCCGUCUUGAGGGAGGUAGGGGUCUGUGGAACUUCUGGUGGAGCGGUGAAAUGCGUAGAUAUCAGAAGGAACGCCGGUGGCGAAAGCUACGGACUGGAUCUCUUCUGACGCUGAGGCGCGAAAGCUAGGGGAGCGAACGGG
rnacentral:rRNA from 1 species